rnacentral:rRNA from 1 species
UGUUCCUACGGGGGGCAGCAGUGGGGAAUAUUGCACAAUGGGGGAAACCCUGAUGCAGCAACGCCGCGUGAGUGAAGAAGUCAUUCGUGAUGUAAAGCUCUAUCAGCAGGGAAGAUAAUGACGGUACUUGAGGAGGAAGCCCCGGCUAACUACGUGCCAGCAGCCGCGGUAAUACGUAGGGGGCUAGCGUUAUCCGGAAUUACUGGGCGUAAAGGGUGCGUAGGUGGUUUCUUAAGUCAGAGGUGAAAGGCUACGGCUCAACCGUAGUAAGCCUUUGAAACUGGGGAACUUGAGUGCAGGAGAGG